AUACGUAGGUGGCGAGCGUUGUCCGGAUUUACUGGGCGUAAAGCGCGCGCAGGCGGCCGGCCAAGUCUCGGGUGAAAGCUCCCGGCUCAACCGGGAGAGGUCUCGAGAUACUGGUCGGCUCGAGGGGAGCAGAGGAGAGUGGAAUUCCCGGUGUAGCGGUGAUAUGCGUAGAUAUCGGGAGGAACACCGGUGGCGAAGGCGGCUCUCUGGGCUCUCGCUGACGCUGAGGCGCGAAAGCGUGGGGAGCAAACCGGAUUAGAAACCCUAGUAGUCC
rnacentral:rRNA from 1 species